UAUUGUGAUGAGAGAAUAUAUCUGAACGGUGAAGAAGUGGAGCGACUCUGAGG
rnacentral:snoRNA from 1 species